rnacentral:rRNA from 1 species
AUUGAACGCUGGCGGCAUGCUUUACACAUGCAAGUCGAACGGCAGCGCGGGCUUCGGCCUGGCGGCGAGUGGCGAACGGGUGAGUAAUACAUCGGAACGUGCCCAGUAGUGGGGGAUAGCUCGGCGAAAGCCGGAUUAAUACCGCAUACGACCUGAGGGUGAAAGCGGGGGAUCUUCGGACCUCGCGCUAUUGGAGCGGCCGAUGGCAGAUUAUCUAGUUGGUGGGGUAAAGGCCUACCAAGGCGACGAUCUGUAGCUGGUCUGAGAGGACGACCAGCCACACUGGGACUGAGACACGGCCCAGACUCCUACGGGAGGCAGCAGUGGGGAAUUUUGGACAAAGGGCGAAAGCCUGAUCCAGCAAUGCCGCGUGUGUGAUGAAGGCCUUCGGGUUGUAAAGCACUUUUGGCGGGAACGAAAAGGACUGUGCCAAUACCACGGUUCGAUGACGGUACCCGCAGAAUAAGCACCGGCUAACUACGUG